rnacentral:rRNA from 1 species
UGAACGCUGGCGGCGUGCCUAAUACAUGCAAGUCGAGCGAACGGACGAGAAGCUUGCUUCUCUGAUGUUAGCGGCGGACGGGUGAGUAACACGUGGAUAACCUACCUAUAAGACUGGGAUAACUUCGGGAAACCGGAGCUAAUACCGGAUAAUAUUUUGAACCGCAUGGUUCAAGAGUGAAAGACGGUCUUGCUGUCACUUAUAGAUGGAUCCGCGCUGCAUUAGCUAGUUGGUAAGGUAACGGCUUACCAAGGCAACGAUGCAUAGCCGACCUGAGAGGGUGAUCGGCCACACUGGAACUGAGACACGGUCCAGACUCCUACGGGAGGCAGCAGUAGGGAAUCUUCCGCAAUGGGCGAAAGCCUGACGGAGCAACGCCGCGUGAGUGAUGAAGGUCUUCGGAUCGUAAAACUCUGUUAUUAGGGAAGAACAUAUGUGUAAGUAACUGUGCACAUCUUGACGGUACCUAAUCAGAAAGCCACGGCUAACUACGUG